GGCCGGGCAGUGGAAGGGAGCAGACUGUAAAUCUGCCGUCAUCGACUUCGAAGGUUCGAAUCCUUCCCCCACCACCA
rnacentral:tRNA from 1 species